AGAUUGAACUGAAGAGUUUGAUCCUGGCUCAGAUUGAACGCUGGCGGCAUGCUUUACACAUGCAAGUCGAACGGCAGCACGGGCUUCGGCCUGGUGGCGAGUGGCGAACGGGUGAGUAAUACAUCGGAACGUACCCAGAAGUGGGGGAUAACGUAGCGAAAGUUACGCUAAUACCGCAUACGUUCUACGGAAGAAAGUGGGGGACCGCAAGGCCUCAUGCUUUUGGAGCGGCCGAUGUCUGAUUAGCUAGUUGGUGAGGUAAAGGCUCACCAAGGCGACGAUCAGUAGCUGGUCUGAGAGGACGACCAGCCACACUGGAACUGAGACACGGUCCAGACUCCUACGGGAGGCAGCAGUGGGGAAUUUUGGACAAUGGGCGCAAGCCUGAUCCAGCAAUGCCGCGUGAGUGAAGAAGGCCUUCGGGUUGUAAAGCUCUUUUGUCAGGGAAGAAACGGUAGGAGCUAAUAUCUCUUGCUAAUGACGGUACCUGAAGAAUAAGCACCGGCUAACUACGUGCCAGCAGCCGCGGUAAUACGUAGGGUGCAAGCGUUAAUCGGAAUUACUGGGCGUAAAGCGUGCGCAGGCGGUUUUGUAAGUCUGUCGUGAAAGCCCCGGGCUCAACCUGGGAAUUGCGAUGGAGACUGCAAGGCUUGAAUCUGGCAGAGGGGGGUAGAAUUCCACGUGUAGCAGUGAAAUGCGUAGAGAUGUGGAGGAACACCGAUGGCGAAGGCAGCCCCCUGGGUCAAGAUUGACGCUCAUGCACGAAAGCGUGGGGAGCAAACAGGAUUAGAUACCCUGGUAGUCCACGCCCUAAACGAUGUCUACUAGUUGUCGGGUUUUAAUUAACUUGGUAACGCAGCUAACGCGUGAAGUAGACCGCCUGGGGAGUACGGUCGCAAGAUUAAAACUCAAAGGAAUUGACGGGGACCCGCACAAGCGGUGGAUGAUGUGGAUUAAUUCGAUGCAACGCGAAAAACCUUACCUACCCUUGACAUGUCAGGAAGGCCG
rnacentral:rRNA from 1 species